rnacentral:lncRNA from 1 species
AUGAGCUGCAUAUCACUCCCUGACACCCUAUAAACCUGAGACUCCAUGACCAGUCAAAGAAGGCAUUUGGGCAGUGGAUGGAUAAACAAAUCAUGGCUUCUCUGUAGUGCUAUGGAAUGAACGCAGAGUGAAAUACUACUCAGCAAUAAAGGGGAAUUAAUUAUUGAAAAAUGCAACAGCUUGGAUGAAUUUUGCCAAGCAAAAAGUCCGACACAAAAGCAUACAUGUGGCAGUCAGUGAAGACUUGCUGAAUGGAAUGAAAUGGAAAGAAAGAACAUGACAAACAGUCUGCCUAACAGCUGCCUGACAUCUCCCUGGUAAAGUCACCUGCUCAUGGAGGUUCUCUGUAGAUUGACAUUUUACAAAUUAGCAUCCCCUUCAAGCUGAAAGAGCACCAGGGAGCCACCUCAUUGGGAGGCACGCUAGAGUAAUAGCAGCAACACCACUCAUGGGUUGGAGGAGCCGGAGAAGAGAAGCAAAUAAAC